rnacentral:SRP_RNA from 1 species
AGAACGGUCCGCACAACGGAAGAGCAUGAACGAGUCAGGGGUUAACGCCAGCAGCUAUAAGUGUAAACUUUCGUGUGUGUGGGACCGUUCUUCG